rnacentral:lncRNA from 1 species
UCAGACAUGCCUACUUGUUGCUUACGCAGGAGCAAGAUGAUAACACACGCGCUCACCUGAUUUGAAGUUGCAAGUUGCCAAUCAAAGUCCAAAUCUUUGGGCGGAUGCUUUUGAAGGACCACCUCAACUACAAGUGCAACCUCUUAAAAAACAAUUGUUUCGAACAACCACUACACUAGAUGCGAGCACCUUGCAAGGAUGCUCUACACAUGUUCAUUCAGUGUCCCAGUGACAUGCUUUAGGACAAAUUGCAGCUCAUGACUCCCACCUCCAUCGACCUUAUCUGGGAUGUCCCAUCACCGGCUAGCCUCGAUAGUAAGAUUUGGCCUUCUAUUGCCCUCUCAGUAUUAUGAAAAAUCCGGGACUCCAUGUGACGCCCGGAUAAUUAAGCUACAGUGAUCUCAUGCUAAUGAUAUCAUGUCAUCAUGAUUACUAUGCUAACUGCUGCCUGUUUCAAAUCAACUCCAAAAAUCCAAUAUAAAUUGCAAGUGAGAAAACAUUUCUUCAAACUGACAAAUAAAAAUGUUGAAUGGGUUGAAAAUAUUCACUAAAUAAUUAACAUAUAGGAAACAACAUUAAAUGGAUUUUUAAAUUGCCCCUGGGAGUUUUUAGCGGAUCAGCGGGAUUAAAUAAACACAUUUUAAUUCAAAUAUAAAUUUGAAUAGUCCCAAUUGGCCUCAAACCUUUUUGUACAUCCCUGUAAGAUAGCCUAGUAUUUAUGUGCUAAGUCUCACAAUAAACAAAAAUCAUCUGACAGCAUAAAGUAAAUGCAAAACAUUGGAGAAUUACAAAACAGUAAAUAAAAAUAAAAAAAAGAAAGAUGCCUAACUACUACCAUGGAGUGGGCUCUUUUUGCACAGUGCACUUGGCCCAUCGUGAAUAUUACCCAAUCCAGCCCAUCUCUCCCUCCUCUUCAACCUUACCUACAGAAACUAGUGCGUGUCGUUCAUCCGCGGCCGUCGUCGCUCGAUUGCCGCCACGCACGCCACAGAGCCUCCCCAUCCCUAUAAGCACACCCUCUGGGAACCCUAGAUCAAGCUCGCCCGAUCCCCUCUUUUUUCCCCAUCGCGCCCCCUCCUCAUCUGCUCGAAAUCGAGCGCAAGAGCUCGCGCGGUGAUUGCGCUGUCGUCGUCGUUGCCGUAGCCAGCGGCCACUGUUCGCCGUGCGCUGAUGCCCAGAAGAAGCGCGUCGUCAUCCUCUUCUUCCACGCCGAGCGCCACCAGCUAGGACGCCUUCGUGCCGUCGCUUCCGUCGAUCCCCUCCGCGGGCAACCGUCGUUGUCCGUCGUCGACGCGCUCGACCCUGUCAGCGACCCAAUUACUACCACGGCCACGUCGACCCACGGCAAGGCAGCCAGCCCACCAAGAGCGACCAACACAUGGGCCUGGGCCGUCGAGAACCAGCAAGAGCUACCAGCUAUAUAUCUACAGGGGACAGCAACGAGCUAGCCAUCCGGGCUUGGAUCAGGCAAAGGCAACGGCGGCUUCCCCUUUCCCUUCUCCUACCUCCUGUUCUUCCUCCUAUCUUCAUCUUCCUUCACCAAUUCCUUGUAUGUGAGCUUGAUUACCUUGUAAUGGAGUGAACCACAGGUCGGAACCUAACAUCAUGGCAUCAGAGCCUCCUUCCACCCUUCCGAUUCGCCACAAAUCCUCCUGAGUUCGUCCAAUUUUUGCCUAAUUUUUUUUCUCAGUUCAUCAAUUCCUUCCACCACCAUGCAUCCGGACCUGAAGGCCUACCUAGACGAUUACCACGCGCGGACCAUGGCGCGCUACGACGCCGUGGACAAGCAGUACGCCCUGAUGUUGAAGAUCCUCACGGGCAUCUCGACCCCGCAGCCGGCGUGUCCCAUGGCCACGGCAGCAGAUGGCGGCCUCACCGACGACUCCAGUGUCCCGGCGGUUGUCCCCGACACCUCUUCCUCUACCACCAAGGCCCACGAGACCUUCGAGCUCAACCCCGGCGCGUCCCUUGCUUCCAUCGAGAUGGUGCCAGUCACCUGUUCGACAGAAUGUCCGACCCAGGUAGUCACCAUCGCCAGCGUCGACGAGGUCCACGCUGCCACCACAACUGUCCGCCUUGAGCCCGCGGUCGAUCUCAUCCACCAAGAGGUCGUGCCGAUCACGACUGUUCAUGCAACGCCUUCCAUCUGCACCAGCACCACCAAGGUCCUCCCCCCUGUGGCGACCACCACCGACGUUGACUCCAAGGCCGGUGUGCAAGAGCUCGAUGCCCUCACUGUAAACACCACCCCAGUGACGAGCGAGGUGGACCACACCGUCGUCCACAAUGUCUCCAGCGACCUUACUGCAUCGACGCUGACAAGGUGUUCGACGCAAUGCACCUGUCGCCACACAAACCUACGGAGGUAUGUGCUCCACCCAGCAGCGACACCUUCGAGGCUGGUGCUACGACCGCAGCCAUGGCCAUCGUUUUGGAGACAUUAUGCAGAUGGAAACGAGAAACGGCCCAUGCCAUGGCCGUCCUUAGCUUGCUCUCGUGAACUGAAUCGGAAGCACGUUGGGCUGCUGUCACAAGUUACAUCUGCGAUGAAUCAUUUUUCUGGUACUCUAGAUUCGCUGAGAAGACCUGGGAAGUAUUUGCAAAGUAUGCAGCUGAAACUACCAUGGCCAUCAUUUUCAAGCAAUUGCCCGGCAGUAUCAGUGUGGUUAGAAUUGCCAAAGUGCAAGCUUCCAGAUGAAUAUUGUACUGCUAUUGACAAUUUUGCUUCACUGGUGACUACCACUAUCCAUGUUGUUUGUUCACUGGAACCUAUUGAGCAUCAGUUUUCAGUUGUUCUUGAGUAGGGGCGUUGGAAGUAUUCUGAGCAUCACAUAAGGGAACAUGCUGCUAUAAGUGCUCUGACUUCUCCGACAGAAUCCCUGAGAUGUCGCCAAGGGGUGCACCUGAAACUACUGUGUUCAUCAUUCUCAAGCAAUUGCCAAGCAGUACAGUUAUGGUCAGAGCUACCGACAGUGGAAUUUCAGUUUUGUGCUCAUGGUCCUACUGAUCCAAAAAUCAUGAGAGAAACCUGGUGGUGCUUGCUGAAAAUUACUUAUAAGAUCGGUCAAUUGGAUCACCUAUUCAGACCAAGACAAUGGCGGUCGCUCAAAUUGAUUCAGUUGCAUGCUAUCUCGAGGAGCCAUCUUCACGUACACAUCACCAACCUCAUGAAGUUUCAGGGUUCAGUGUUGAGCUAGUACCAUUACCAUUCAGCGAUGUGAGUUCUCCUCAAGUUCCUUAUCGUCAGUCGAAUUCCAUGGACGAGUCUUUCUGUUGUUUGCCGGGUGCAAAGCUGCAGUUUGGGCACAAUAAACUACAGAUUAUGAGCAUGUCAGUACAAUGGCACUUUCUGAGCCAAGAGAAAUUAAAGGGGAGUGGUCGUUUUGAUAGUGAAUUCAGACCUGAACAAGUAGUUGAUGUUUCAAAAACAAGAAUUCAGUUUGCCGAGCUAAUCAGCCUGGAGUGUUGCUCCUUCAAGUGUGAACCAAAUUGCAUACCAUUUGUACUCUGGUGGAAAUACAAGUGUCUUCUUCUUUUGGUGGGAAUUCAACACAUGAUUCUAGUUCAUUUGUACUUUUUGCACAAGAUGACCAGUACUGAAGCUUUGGAAAAAGGUGAUUGUCAGCAUCUUAUAUCAACCAAUUGUGUUCCAGCAUAUCUGAAAUCAGAUGAAGUCUGUGUUGCUGCUAUUUGCAAGUUUGAUCAGGGAAAUUCUCAGGAAUGGGCAUUGAUACUUUGUUUCAAUCAGCGACCACUUCUUGUUUGUUCAGGUGCAUUGGAAUCUUUCUGAGACGGGUGCUUGCUGGAUCCCCAUGGUGCCAAGCUAUAUUCCUGUCCCAAGUCAUCCAAUAAAACAAUUUAUUGAUGAUCUGACCUUGAGUAUUGCAGAACAGCGGCUAGUCAUCUGUUGGGUGCAGUCCUCUCAUGAAUUUCUCGCUCAUGACGCCCAACCGAUGUUUUGGUUCAGUCAAAAAAAUGCCCAGCUAAAGCCACCAGGAUCAUAUUUUUUAUGCACUUGUCAGGCAGUACAGUUGCUCUACCAUUGGGUUCAUGAGCACGUCACUGAGUUGGCUAGUAGUUGUUACUUUGCAAAAUUUUGGCGCACUAGAGAUUCCCAUGAUUUAGUACAUCACUGGGUAGUUCCUAUAUGUGCCAGUAUACAAGCGGGUGGCAAUCUAUUCAAGUAUAAGUGGAGCGGACAAUAUGAAUGGAGACUGUUGAAGCCUAAUUUCCUGCAAGCUAGUUCUGGCCCCUGUUCUGAUGCAUAUUUCUAUGGGAACCAAUGCACGGUGGUCGUUGAAGUGUUGGUGUAUCUUGUUGGGCAGCUAAGUGACAUGUUUCAUAAGUUACCAGCUAUAUAUCUAUGGUAUAUGCUUUGGCCGAUGUGUUGGUCGCUCUUGGUGGUUCUCGACGGCCCAGGCCCAUGUGUUGGUCGCUCUUGGUGGGCUGGCUGCCUUGCCGUGGGUCGACGUGGCCGUGAUAGUAAUUGGGUCGCUGACAUCCCCUCCUCCUUGACAGCCGGCUUGCCCCCAAGCUGGUGCCCGUUCUUCACUGGUUCUGCAAAAUCCAAUCCUCCUGGAUCCCAUUGAGCAUAAGACGAAGUUGUCGGUUGAAGUGACUGUACCGCAUGUUGUUCAUUGUUGUGUGCAGUGCUCUGAAACUCCUUCGGGGUUGAGCGUCCCAGACAUGCAGCAAGGACAUCUGCAUCUGGGUAAGUGCCCGAAGAGAAGCACCACCAAUGGCUUGACAAGAUAUUAACAUGAUCAGCACAGAUCCACAAUGGAGUGAUUUCCCAAAGAACUCCAUCGAGGUGUGGAAACUCUGAAUUAGUUAUUCGCAUAUUGCUGCUGAAUUGUGUAGAAAUUUGUGGUGGAACAAGAGGUGACCACGGAGGCUUGUGUUGCAACAAGACCAAAUGCUCUCCUGGUUUUGGAAUAAGUAGGUCCAACUCAAUCAGAAGGAGGCCACUCCCUGCCACUGAGAUGCCAAAGCAUAUACCAUAGUUGUAAGUGAUUUUGUUGCUCGCCCCUAUAUGAUACCGGCAAGGCAGCCAGCCCACCAAGAGCGACAAACACAUGGGCCUGGGCCGUCGAGAACCAGCAAGAGCUACCAGCUAUAUAUCUACAGGGGACAGCAACGAGCUAGCCAUUCGGGCUUGGAUCAGGCAAAGGCAACGGCGGCUUCCCCUUUCCCUUCUCCUACCUCCUGUUCUUCCUCCUAUCUUCAUCUUCCUUCACCAAUUCCUUGUAUGUGAGCUUGAUUACCUUGUAAUGGAGUGAACCACAGGUCGGAACCUAACAGACCCUGCCUCCCCCUCCGGUCACCGGAGAACGCCGCCACCACGCCGUCAUCACCAAGCCUCCCCGAGCCCGCGAACGCACAUCUGCAGGGCCCGGUGAGCUCCUCGUUGUCUCCCCCUUUUUUCCCGUCGAAUCUGUCGCCUUAGGCCGUCUUAGCCGCCGCGUUGGAACCCUUUGUGAGCUCAUGCUCACCCUGCCCGCGCUUGACUUCUCCCGACCGCACCUCAUCGCUACUUGCCGCGACAUACGCCUGCGGGACGCGUCCAUGGCCGCGCCUGCGCCGCACACUAGCCGCUCCCGUCCAAUCACGGCCCCGCGGGUCGCGCCCUCGACCUCAGGUGCGCGUACGUCCGCCUGCUGCUGCUGCUUUGCCGAUGCGGCUCCGCUCGCUGCACUGCUGCUUGGCGCGCGUGGUCGUGCGCCCUACUCCGUCUAGCUGCUGUAACUGCUCUGUUGCUUGUGCUGCUCGCUGCUCUGCUGCUACUCUCUGCUGCCGCCGCUGCUUACUGUUGGUGCUGCUGCUAGUUGCCGCCGCCGCCGCUGCUCCUGCUAGUGCCGUUUUGCUGCUAACCCUGCUCCGCUGCUGGUGCUCCUACUACCUGCUACCACGGACUGCUACUGCUACUAGCCAUGGCCAUCCGUGUGUGGUGUGUGUGUGUUACGUGUGUGGCCGGCUGGGCCAUUGUCCAGUGCGGCCGGCCCCUUGUUAAUUUAGGAUUAGAUUAGUUUCUGUUAAAUUAGUGCUAAUUUACUUUAAUAGCAAAUGACAUGUGGACCACCUGUGUUGGUUAUCUCUAAUUAAUUGACUUAAUAAAAACAGAGUCUAUGACAAUUGGGCCCCAACUGGCACCAGUCAAGUAUUGACUGGGUCAACUCAGAACCUGACCCCACCUGUAAGCAUCUGGUUCUAGCUGUCCUUGACUACAAAAGGGUAAUUUUGCAUUUUAUUCUCGAAAUUAAUAAAAAAAUGUUUAAAAUUUUAGAAAAUUAAUAUAAAAUAAACCGUAGUUCGGAUGGAAAAACUUUGUACAUGAAAGUUGCUCAGAACGACGAGACGAAUCCGGAUACGUAGCUAGUUCAUCCGCCACACAUCCCUAGCAUAGCAAACACGCAACUUUCCCCCUCCGGUUAUUUUGUCCGAAAAUGCGAAACACCGGAGAUACUUUCCCGGAUGUUUCCCCCUUCACCAGUAUAGCCUAGUAUUGUGUUAGGUUACCCCUAGCACCGCGUAUUGCCAUGUUAUACUUUGUGAUGCUUUGAUUGCUCUAUUAUUUAUUGUGUCCCCUUCGUUACUUCUUUCCGGUAGACCCUGACGUCGCUGCUACCCAGUACGACUACGGUGUUGACGACCCCUCCUUCUUGCCAGAGCAACCAGGCAAGCCCCCCCUCUUGAUCACCAGAUAUCGCCUAUUCUUCUCUAUACUCUUGCAUUAGAGUAGUGUAGCAUGUUACUGCUUUCCGUUAAUCCUAUUCUGCUGCAUAGCCUGUCUUUGCCACUACUGUUGUUACCUUUACCUGCAAUCCUACAUGCUUAGUAUAGGAUGCUAGUUUUCCAUCAGUGGCCCUACAUUCUUGUCCGUCUGCUGUGCUAUACUAUCGGGCUGUGAUCACUUGGGAGGUGAUCACGGGUUUAUACUAUAUACUUUAUACAUUAUACAUGUGGUGACUAAAGUCGGGUCGGCUCGUGGAGCACCCGCGAGUGAUUCACGGAUUGGGGGCUGAAAGGACCUUUGUCCCGACGGCCCUCUGGGUGGAUCUUUGUGGCGGAGCGACAGGGCAGGUUGAGACCGCCUAGGUGAGAGGUGGGCCUGGCCCUGGUCGGUGUCCGUGGUUACAUCAAUUAACACGCUUAACGAGAUCUUGGUAUUUGAUCUGAGUCUGGCCAUUUGGUCUAUACGCACUAACCAACUACGCGGGAACAGUUAUGGGCAGUCGACGUCGUGGUAUCAGCCGAAGCCUUCGUGACAUCAACGACUGAGCGGCGCGCGCUGGGUUGGAUCGCGUAACGCAACUUCCUUUGAAAUGGAGGUUCCUAGGUCUGCUCUCCGACCGCGCACGCAACGUGCAGGUGUGCAAUGGGCGAUGGGCCCAGACCCCUGCGCGCAUAGGAUUUAGACCGGCGUGUUGACCUCUCUGUUGUGCCUAGGUGGGGCUGCGAUGUGUUGAUCUUCCGCGGCCGGGCAUGACCCAGAAAAGUGUGUCCGGCCAAAUGGGAUCGAGCGUGUUGGGUUAUGUGGUGCACCCCUGCAGGUAAGUUUAUCUAUUCGAAUAGCCAUGUCCCUCGGUAAAAGGACGACCCGGAGUUGUACCUUGACCUUAUGACAACUAGAACUGGAUACUUAAUAAAACACACCCUUCCAAGUGCCAGAUAUAACCCGGUGAUCGCUCUCUAGAUCGCCGGGUAGGAUUAUGCUAUACGAUGCUGCUUGGUGAACUUACCAUCUACUCUCUCCUACAUGCUGCAAGAUGGAGGUGACCAGAAGCGUAGUCUUCGACAGGAUUAGCUAUCCCCUUUUAUUUUGGCAUUCUGCAGGUCAGUCCACCGAUAUGGCCCCUUUACACAUAUACCCAUGCAUAUGUAGUGUAGAUCCUUGCUUGCGAGUACUUUGGAUGAGUACUCACGGUUGCUUUUCUCCCUCUUUUCCCCCUUUCCCUUCUACCUGGUUGUCGCAACCAGAUGCUGGAGCCCAGGAGCCAGACGCCACCGUCGACGACGACUCCUACUACACCGGAGGUGCCUACUACUACGUGCAGGCCGCUGACGACGACCAGGAGUAGCUUAGAAGGAUCCCAGGCAGGAGGCCUGCGCCUCUUUCGAUCUGUAUCCUAGUUUGUGCUAGCCUUCUUAAGGCAAACUUGUUUAACUUAUGUCUGUACUCAGAUAUUGUUGCUUCCGCUGACUCGUCUAUGAUCGAGCACUAGUAUUCGAGCCCUCGAGGCCCCUGGCUUGUAUUAUGAUACUUGUAUGACUUAUUUAUGUUUUAGAGUUGUGUUGUGAUAUCUUCAUGUGAGUCCCUGAUCUUGAUCGUACACGUUUGCGUGCAUGAUUAGUGUACGAUUGAAUCGGGGGCGUCACAAGUUGGUAUCAGAGCCGACUGCCUGUAGGAUCCCCCUUCCACACUCCUUGGCCGAAGUCGAGUUUACACAUUGCAAAACUUUUACUAACAUGGUUGUGCGCCUUACGGGCCCACGUCGCCAAUGGGUGGUAUUAGGAUCUUUUACUCCUCGAUCUUUACUCUGGGACUCUAAGCUUUCUUCUAUUCGGGUUAAAUGAUUUUUCUAAAAACAAAACUAACUUUAGGUUCUCGAAAGUACUUUCUCCCGGAGAGUCCCUCACUUCAGAUGAUCGCCUGUUGCACUAGAAGAUUCCGAAGUUACUCUACGAUGUUCUCUCGAGUCUUUGUGCCAUCACAUUUGCGAUUUCCUUCCACCUCAACCCCUAUGAAAACUGCAUACACUUGCCAUUCAUACAAUCAUUCCCGUUGAUCUUGUUAUUACAAGAUGUCCCGAAAUACUCUUUGUUGUCCCGAGAAUCCUUUGAGCUUACUGCCUUGCAGUUCUUUACCACAUGUAUACCCCUACGGAUAAUUCCUAACACUUAUCGAGUAUCCGUUCAUCCACAGUUGAUUCAUGUAUUUCACAAAAGUCUUCGAAAUACCAUUCGUUCUUUUAAAAAUCCUUGACAUCCUAAUGCUCUUGAAAUUCUUGCUUACUAGCAUUAUGAUUAAUCCCAUAAUUCCGGUAAUCUUAUUGGCAUCCUUUGUCAAUAUCAUUUUGACUCCAUUGAUUCAAUAUGUUGCGAAUGCUCGCAAUCCUCAAUCAUAUCCUAGAAUGCAUCCUUCCGGCUUAGACGUCAUUUUUAACAUGAGCUGGAUCUCGACCAAUCAAAUUGUCGUCGUUUGUACCCCUAAGCUUACUCAAGUUAUCCAUCCUUAAUCAGAGCGUUUGCUUCUGAUCCCUUGAUUUGGAAAUCAUAAAUUCCUUUGCAUCUGAACUUUGAAUUAGUCAGUUGUUUCUAUAAUCUAGUGCCUUUGCAUUGUUUCUUCCUUUGAUUGUGCCGGUGCUCACAUUAACACUGUUAUGGACCGUCAGAUACUUCGUUGGAUUUUAUCUGACAACGCCCUUCAUAUUCAAUAAUCUUCUGAGCCGUCCUCGGAUACAUAAUGCCUUGGGUAAAUUGUAUCCUCUGCUUUCUCAACCAUGUGCUGCUUUCGAGCUUGUAUGAAUUACUCCUAGAGUUGUGGUAUAUAUUUCUAAGAUGCCCCGAUGGAUUGAACAUAUACCUUCCUUAAUUUGGGUGAACCCAAAAGUCUUCAUGGGUCAUAACCUUCUGGUAUUCCGCCAGUUAAACUUUCAAACUCUAAACAUUCUUAACCGAGAGCAGUAAAUGAGAAGUUGUGUAUUGGGGAAGUGGGAGUCGACCUUGAACCUUGCGUUCAUGCCCAUGGACACGAUGCUGAUCUUAUCAUGGAUGCUUCUCUUAAACCCUCUUUGGUAUAAGUUCAUCUUAUAUAUGGGAAUUGGUCUUUUGCAACCAUGGUUCCGACCAUAUUUUCUUCUUGAUUCCAUUUCUCGGACAUGUUAGAGUACUUGCCUUCUGCAGAUCAAUACGCCUGCCCAACCUCUAUUUUGAUCUGCCUUCUUGUAUUACCCCCAUGGUAUCUCGAGGAUAUAUCUUAUGAAUUUCUGAUGAAGUAGUACCUUCCGUAUCAUAGCGACUCCACGGGUUCUGGGUUGUCGUCAACCGAGAACAUCCAUAAGUGAAUCGAUUCCGCGCUCCGAUACGAUAACUCUAAGUAAUUUUUGUUGCUUAUGAGUUUAAUAAUCCUUGAAGUCAUUCCUAGCCUGAUUGGCUAUAUCCUUAUCGUGCUAAAUUUUAACUGUGCUACCUGGUUCUUUUUCCCAGAGCACAAUUUUCGAUGAUGAGCAAAUCAUGCGUCGAUCUUCCUCGUCAUAUUAAUUCUUCUCGAACAACAAACUUGAUUUCAAGUUUGUGUCGUACCCAUGGUUCCAAUAACCUUUCGCUUCACCAUUCCUUUGACUUGAUGUCAUUGCUGAUCGAUUACAUCUUGAAAUCUCUCGACAAAUGUGUCGUGAUCAUCAUCGGCAUUCUGAGCUCUUCCAGGAUAUCAAUUGAGUUCAUGAUGAGAAAUACCAUCCUUUCCCUUGAUGAUUUGUGUUAUCAUCGACCACCUUAUUGACUUUCCUCCAACACAAACUUGUUCGUGUUUUGUGUAUACCUUGAGAUCCUUGCUACCCAGCAUUUGUUCUUCUUUACCUUGGAGUAUUACCAUCUUUUAUGUCAAGAAUGUCGUGAGAAUUUCACCACGUCUUGAGAGUUCUUGGUAUUGUGAUACUUCUCACCCUCGCCAUUCUUUCUUGGUCCCCGUAUUGAUUCUAACCGGGAUACCAACACGUGAACCGUGCUGCUUGGGUUCUGUACUUCUAGCAACCCUAUUGCUUUGAAGUUAAUGGUCGAUAUUUCAUUCUUAGACCAUUGGUUAUCGAAUCACCAUUCUAACAUUGAUCAUGCUACCUAAGCCCAUAUUUCGGGUGCACCUUUCAACCAAUGUUUAAUUGUGUAUGUUUUCCUCGAGCAUACCUCAUUAUAUCAUUUGAUCUGACAAAUGUUAACUCCUUGUUCACAUAAGUGUGGAAAUCGAUCUUUUGAAAAUCUCAAUGAAUUGUCGCUGAGUCAAUCAGCCACCUCCUCACCUCUCCUUGAUUUAAUGAUGAACUCUUGUUUCGGAACUCGCUUCCAUAGUUCAAUUCCCGAGAAUCUUAUAAUGUCAUCUCGACAAUUUGUGUUGCACCUUUCUUCUCAGACAUCCCGAGUCUGAGUUAUCCUGACACCAAUCAGAUCUGAAUAUCUGUCAGAUAUGAUGGUUGGAACAUAUUUCCAAGAGUUAUAACAAUGGUCUUUAUGUGACCCGGUAAGGUGAUGUCGUGCCUAGCACACCUGGCCGGAGGCCCUAUUGUUAUAGUUUCCUUUUCAGCAAGGCUAUCCUUUCUUCCAUGAGGAAAUUGUAAGACUUAUUCUAUAAGUUGUUCCUGAUGGAUCCUUUUUGUUUCCAAAGUCUGAUGUUCACCUGUUGACCAUGUCAAUGCUAUCUCGAAGCAUGUCUAUGGUACUCCGAUUUUCAACAGGAACAUUUGAAUCCCAAUGUUAAAUGUUUCCUGCUCAAUUAUCCAAACACCGUUGUAUGGGUAAUGUCAUGAUAUUUCUCUCCCCUCUCCUAAAGGGUUUUCUAUGUUAUAUCCUAUCAUGGAUAUCAUGCUCUGCUUGUCCUUGGGAAGGAUAUACCCUUGAAAUAUGUGUUUAAACACAUUUUCCUUUCCAUUGUUCUGUUUGAUCUGAUGAUCACAUUUUCCUUUCCAUUGAUUUGUUUAAUCUUCCUUGUGAUCCAUAUGAUCUAAGCAGUAAUAUUCUUCUGCUUAUGUAAACACCUUGGUGUACAACCGUGUGAGUAAGAACCUGUUGCAUUUGUUGAUAGCAUUCCCGUAACCACCGAUGGACGAGAACUUUGCCUAUUGGUCCGCCUCGUUCAACGAGCAGGAAAAUGGUUCUCUUCGUCCCUCGCCCUUGGUAUCGAUGUUGUUGCCGACAUAACCGAUAGACUAUCCUCUGACAUGCCUUGCUUACGUGAUCGUGCAAGACGUCACCGCCCUUCCUACUUUAACCCACAUGGUCGGCCCAUAACCCACAGUUCGACAGGAUCAAAACCUGACUCUCCUGUACAUCACUGUUCCCAAGGUUAUUCCUCACGCUUGGCUUCGUAUGAAAUUCACGGGCCAUCGUCCUAGUGAUCUAUUCUGGUAACACGCGCAAUACUCAAUCUCGUUGCUCUGGACCCCUUUCGCACGGUCUUUCAGACAUCGAACGAUUGCCUAUUCGUUUGAAACUUCUCAUGGUACCUUCUUACUUUGCUCUCGAUAUCUUCUCAAGUUUCAACUCGGGAGAUACUUAUGCUUCUCCCCAUGAGUUAACCGUCCGAUGCUCAAUCUUGUUAGAAUUCGUCCUUAUAGAGCUUUUCCCCUCUUAUCCUUUCGUAAGUACGGUGAAGAUCCUGAAGGAAGGACGACAGCUACAUCAUGAUUACCUGAAGCAGAGGAACGAAGACAUCAAUAUAAUGGAUCGAUCUCUUCGAGAAGAGCAAGCAAGACCGAGAAGAUUCAUUAGAAUUUCGUAACCAGAUCUUUCCCCCUUACUCCACCUCUUAAAAUCUCAGGACGAGAUUUCUUGUACUGGAGGAGAAUUGUGACGCCCGGAUAAUUAAGCUACCGUGAUCUCAUGCUAAUGAUGCCAUGUCAUCAUGAUUACUAUGCUAACUGCCACCUGUUUCAAAUCAACUCCAAAAAUCCAAUAUAAAUUGCAAGUGAGAAAACAUUUCUUCAAACUGACAAAUAAAAAUGUUGAAUGGGUUGAAAAUAUUCAGUAAAUAAUUAACAUAUAGGAAACAACAUUACACGGAUUUUUAAAUUGCCCCUAGGAGUUUUUAGCGAAUCAGCGGGAUUAAAUAAACACAUUUUAAUUCAAAUAUAAAUUUUAAUAGUCCCAAUUGGCCUCAAACCUUUUUGUACAUCCCUGUAAGAUAGCCUAGUAUUUAUGUGCUAAGUCUCACAAUUAACAAAAAUCAUCUGACAGCAUAAAGUAAAUGCAAAACAUUGGAGAAAUUACAAAACAGUAAAUAAAAAUAAAAAAAAGAAAGAUGCCUAACUACUACCAUGGAGUGGGCUCUUUUUGCACAGUGCACUUGGCCCAUCGUGAAUAUUACCCAAUCCAGCCCAUCUCUCCCUCCUCUUCAACCUUACCUACAGAGACUAGUGCGUGUUGUUCAUCCGCGGCCGUCGUCGCUCGAUUGCCGCCACGCACGCCACAGAGCCUCCCCAUCCCUAUAAGCACACCCUCUGGGAACCCUAGAUC